CAGUGCCAUUCUUUACACACACACACACACACUGUGGUGGGCUGCUUCUGCUCUGUAUAUAAAUGGCAGUAGUGGGGGAAUGAUUGUGGCAGCCUCGGGAGCCUGAAGUGUGUGAGACUCUCCAAGUUCCUCCAGCCUCUCACUCAGUAAACACUCCAGGAGUUUGUGUGUAAGUGGUGCUUUCACCAGUACACUCACCAUGGAAGACCAGGAGUUUUGUGAGCUUUUAGAGACACCUGAAGCGACUGAAACACCUGCCGCAACUGCAACUCCUGCAGCAACUGCAGCUCCUGCAGCAACUGCAACUCCUGCAGGACCAGCUGCAACUCCUGCAGGACCAGCUGCACGUCCUCGACAGGUGUCCCACCGCGGCCGCAGUGUGGCUCUUGCAGCCACCUCUAACAAGGUUGAUGAGCAGAUCCCAGAGUUUGAGCCCUUUAUGCUCCUGCCUAGAGGUCCUCCACCUCUUAAUGAGUAUCUGGAUAUCUGGGACGUCGACAUGGUCAAGCAGCCUCAUGAGGUGAACAAGCAGAGGCACCACACUAACCUGUACGCCAAUGACUAUCUGAUUGUGCGCCGAGCCCAGCAGUUCCAGAUCAAGAUCACCUUUAACCGGCCCUACAAACCUAAAGAGGACAAGUUUGCCUUGGAGUUUGUUAUGGGUGCCAGCCCCCAGUACAGUAAAGGAACCUACAUUCCCGUCUUCCCCACUGAGGAGCGGCAGAGCAUAUGGCGUGGUCAAGUGAUCGAAACCUCCGACAAUGUUGUCACCAUGGGCAUCACAACAGCUCCUGACUGCAUUGUGGGAAAGUAUGGGCUGUAUGUUGCUGUGGUCACUCCGUAUGGCAUUCGCAGGACAAAGAGGGACCCAGCCUUGGACCAUUAUAUCAUCUGCAACCCCUGGUCCCCAGCUGACAGUGUGUUCCUCGAUGAUGAGGAGCAGAGGGAUGAGUAUGUGCUGAAUGAGUUGGGCAUCAUCUAUCAUGGUGCAUAUGAUGACAUUUCUGAGCGUGCCUGGAACUAUGGACAGUUUGAGUUUGGCAUUCUGGAUGCCUGUCUGUUCAUAAUGGAUAAAGCUGACAUGCCCCUCACCAACCGAGGAGAUCCUAUCAAGAUCAGCAGGAAAGCCUCUGCUAUGGUGAACUCGCGUGAUGAUGAUGGGGUGUUGGUGGGGAACUGGAGUGGUGAUUAUAUGUAUGGUGUGGCUCCCACCUCCUGGACCGGCAGUGCAGAGAUCCUCCUGAAUUACUCUGCCAGUGGAGGAAUGCCUGUGUGCUAUGCACAGUGCUGGGUCUAUGCAGCCGUCUUCAACACCUUUUUGCGCUGCCUGGGCAUCCCUAGCAGAGUUGUGACCAACUAUUUCUCUGCUCACGACAACGAUGGAAACCUGAAGAUGGACAUCAUAUUGGACGACAACGGCAAAGUGGACAGGGGCCGCACCAGGGACUCCAUCUGGAAUUACCACUGCUGGACUGAGUGCUACAUGUCCAGGCCGGACCUGCCUGAGGGCUUUGGAGGCUGGCAGGUUGUGGAUGCUACUCCCCAGGAGACCAGUGAUGGUAUGUAUAGGUGUGGACCUGCAUCUGUGGCAGCCAUCAAACACGGCCAGGUCUGCUACCCUUAUGAUGCCCCAUUUGUUUUUGCUGAGGUGAACAGUGAUGUGGUGUUCUACCGCAGAAGUAAAGAGGGAACACUGCAACCAGUGAAGGUGAACACCAGCCACGUGGGCCGCAUGGUGCUGACCAAAGCAGUGCUGCACGAUGGACGUAAAGAUAUCACUGACCAGUACAAGUUCCCAGAAGGGACCCCAGAAGAGCGCAGGGUGCUGGAGAAGGCCGAGGAGUUUGGCUGCCAGCGGGAGAAGGCCUCUGUUCCCGAGGCAGAUGUGGAUGUGGAGAUUUCUGCUCAGGAGGUGCAGCUGGGGGAUGAUUUUCAGCUGGAGCUGGUGUUCACCAACCGCAGCAGCCAGCGGCGCGUGGUGGAUGCCUACAUCAGCGGUACAGUGGUCUAUUACACAGGGGUGCCAAGCGCUGAGGUCGUGUUCCAGACACCCACCGUGGAACUGGAUCCACAACAAAGUAAGAAGGAGAAGGUGCUGGUGCGCAGCAAGGACUAUCAGAGUAAGCUGGUGGGGCAGGGGAACCUGCACUUCAUCACUACAGGAAAAGUGAAAGAGACUAGUCAGAUCAUCACCGCCAUGAGACUCAUCAUCGUGCACAAUCCCAAGCUCACUGUGCAGGUGACUGGAUCUCCUAAAGUAAGUGAGGAGAUGUAUGUGACAGUGGAGUUCACCAACCCCUUUAAAUUCAGCCUGGAAAAUGUGUAUGUUCGUCUAGAAGGGCCUGGAAUCCUGUCAAUUAAUACAAAGAUGUACAGGAUAAUAGCCCCAGGCAGCUCUAUAACAUGGACGGAGCAUUUCAGUCCUCGGAGAGCAGGCACCACCAAGCUGAUGGCCGCUCUGGACUGUUCUGCUCUCAGGCAGUUGAAUGGGAAGGUCGAGGUCACCAUCCAACCAUAAAGGAGGAGGACCCUAGCAGCAUUACACCAGCAUAUUUAUAUAUUCAUUAACAAGCUAGCUGCUUUUUGUAUUAUGUGUAUAUGACUGUACUUAUAGUAUAGAAACUAAUAUAUAGAAGAUAUUGCACUUGCACACAAUGUAUUUCUUACCUACAAUCUCAAAUUAGAAAAACUGGUAUAGCAAAAAGAGGUUUCUUACAUGUACUUUGGCUUUUAUUUAAUUGGAGACAGUAUAAACCCAAGUUAGUUCACUUUUUAAUCAACUUUUAAUUUAAUUAAUCAAUAUACAUUCAUUCCCACAUUUCAGGUCUGCAAUACAUUCCAAAAACUGUUGUGACAGUAAAGCAUUUACCACUUUCUAAUGUUGUAAUUACUUGUCACAACACUCAAAAUAUGUCUGAGCUCCGAUGAUUCCAAGUGAUUAUAUGUCUCUCAUUCUUCCUGCAAACACGUCAUAAUGUGGGCAACAGAAUGAGGAUGUUUUGAAGUCAUUUCAAAGUUUCCAGACAGGUCAGUUCAGGAAUGCAGGCAGGCCAGUAUAGCACCUUUACCCAUCCCUUGAAAAAAAUUUUACGCAGGCUGUGUUGAGCUAAAAUCUCAUUGUACAUUUCUACUGUAAUACUGCAUCACAAACCCACAACAAGACAGACCCUGGCUUUUGGACUCUGAUAUCAGCCUGGAAGGUUCUUUUCUUCUUUGGUAUAGAGCUCAAGACAGAUCUGGAACACUGUGUUUUCACUGUGUGAUGGUGAACCUGAGAAGUUGACGCUGCUUUCGGAGAAGACUUGGAUUGUAAAACUAUCAUCACAAGUAGAGAUUUUCAACUGCUUGGGAUCUCAGUAACAUGGGAAAUGGAACCUCAAGAAAGUCAAACGAUGAUCUCUUGGAUGAUGAAGAUAUCGAUCACCCACUUUUCAAGGAGCUCCAGCUUGUGGUGAUUGGAUGUCAUGCUUCUGGGAAGAAUGCUAUAGUAAAUGCCAUUUUCAGAAACAAUGUGUUUACCUUUUCAACAUCCUCUAAAAAACAUGUUGAGAGAAAACACACUGUGUUCGGAACAAAAGUAACUAUAGUUCGUGCUCCUGGCUGGUCAGAAGAACUGACUUCACUGCGAAAGCACCGUGAGUUACGACAGGAGAUUAGUGAUGCAGUGAGAUCAUUUGAAAAAGGACCUCAUGCAAUCAUUCUGUCCAUUGCUGUAAACUCCACUCUUACAGAAACUACACAAGCUACCCUGGAAAAACUCCUUACUAGAAGAUUCUGGGAUCACACCAUCAUCGUCUUCAAGGGGGAUUUACAAAAGGCGAACAGUGAAGAUAAAAAGAACAUACAAACUCUCAUUAAAGCACUCAACAAACGGUGCUGUGUCCUACAAAAAACAACCAGUUUUGAAGAGAGCAAAAAGCUUAUUGAAGACAUAGCACUGAUGAUCGCAGGGAAACAGAAUGUCCCGCUUCAUUUCUCUGUUGAUGAAAGUGAGAAACAUGAUGAAUCACAUGAAAAGAAGAACCUUUUAAAACGACUGAGACAAAAAAUCGAAAAACUUAAAAAACUUAACAGAAAUGUACUGACCAAAAGGGCUGAGUCAACAAACAACUUAGUACGACUGCAAAAAAUCUUAGGAAUGCACGAGGAUCCUGACACAGAUUCUACUCAAUCUGAUCAGUCUACACAUGAGGAAGAAAACACAGAAAGAGAAGAAAGAACAAGUGAAGCAAUGGCUGAAAUCCAUCCUACAGAAACAUCAAACCUGCUGGAUCAAACUGAGAUGGCAUCUGAUAAGGAUCCAGCCCGAGAUGCCCAUAAACUAAAUGGGACUUUCCAGUGUGACUCCUGUGCUGCCAAUUUCAGUGAGGGUGAUCUUUAUAGCUGGUAUGGCUGUCUUGUGGAGAUCUUGGAAGAUCUAACUGAGGAACAGUUUAAAAAAAUGAAAAACAAGAUAUGCAAUAUGAAGGAUGACCGAAUUCGAACAUUGCAUGUGGAGGACAAAAACCGAAACACACUGGCACAUAACAUGAUUCAACACUGGGGAGAAGAGAAAUGCAUCAGCUACACCAGGGAUAUUCUAAAGGAUAUUCCACGGAACGACAAUGAAGUAAAAGAUCUUAUUCUGCCAUUCUUGCAGAGGAUUGGAGAAUCAUGGUAAUAAAAGAGAGUAUAUCUAUGAAGAGUGUAGAGUAAGAAUCUUAUUAUACAAUGACAGGGAAUGUUUGGGCACCCUUGGUCAAAUUGUAGUCUCGAUCAAUAUCUGGAUUUAAUUAGGUGUUAGCGUUAUUUAAUUUUACCAAUAUAAACAUAUCUAAGCUAAAAAGUGCCUGAUGACAAAAUGUUAAAGAUGACAUGUUACUUUAAUAUUUUGAGCAUGAUUAAACACUGCUUCUGUACAGUAUGCAUCAUAUUUCAAAUGCCCAAAAAAGUUCCAUGCUACCAUACGUAGCUGUGAAAAAAUGUAAAAUGUGAAGGGAGCUGAAAAUUCUGCAGCAUGAGUAGAUAACCUUUUUUUCUGCACAGUUUGCCUUCUUACAUUUUAUUUGUUAAACACUGGAGCGACAGAGGUACUGAUAAAAUCAUGUACUGCAUUUGUAAAAUCUGAAAGCCAUUUUACUCUUUCAGAGUACUUCCCUCUUUCAUUUUGAGCAAUGUUUUAAGCAUGUGUGCAUGAGGUUCUGAAAUCUUCUGUCUGAGCAGAUAAAAAAAUGUAAAAAGGCAGAAUUCAGUUUCUCUAUAAGUCAUUGUGGAAGAUUAACAGUUCCAGUCAGCAUGAAGAAAAUUACUCGAGAAAGAAAAACAUUGUACUGAAACACUGCUGUUGAAGAUUUCUAUCACACCAUCACCAAAGCGCCUCUCAGGAAUUUUAACCAAAGUCCUGUUUAAUGCAUCCUGACAUUCAGACAGAAACUUUUAACCAAGUCCUGCUCUUAAAAUUGUGAACUGGCUGAUCACUGAAAUCUGGUUUUAAAAUUUUGAGCACUGAAAAAAUACUUUGAAUUGACAUGGUCCUAUUCAAAUGUUCACAGUUCCACCUUAAUAAAAUGUUUAAAUUACUAUUUAAUUCUUUGUAUUCAUAUAAAUUGUCUACAACAAAUUGUGCUUUGUUUAGGUUUUUAAUGCUCUCUUGUAGAAUGCUAUGCAAAUUAAGUCACUCCCUAACUGCAUUUUCCCCCAAACUGGAACAGACUGUCCACACUCACACUGCUGACCAUCUAAGCUGUGCCUGUGUAUGAUCUUCUGUCUGCACGAGAAUACAUUUGCUCACAUUUACCUUAAAGAUAAAAGUAUGUAAAAAUGUAUUCAAUAAAAUUGUAACUCCGAUUUAUCCACAGCAGAGGUGAAAUACAGCAUUAAUAAAUCAUGAAUUUAUCUUCAUUUAGAAAAUUAGACUAUAUAAGGUGUGGGGACUGAAUUCUCACGGCAAAGAAAAUGUAACUUCAAUUAGCUAUAUAAAUGUACCCCUUGCUAAUCUUACUACCACUGUGUUGUUUUCUUGUUGUUGUAUGUUAUAUAUGUUUUUUUUAUAUUUGAUUAAUAAAGAUGCAGAUUUUGCCAUG